AUUGAACGCUGGCGGCAGGCCUAACACAUGCAAGUCGAGCGGAUGAAGGGAGCUUGCUCCUGGAUUCAGCGGCGGACGGGUGAGUAAUGCCUAGGAAUCUGCCUGGUCGUGGGGGAUAACGUCCGGAAACGGGCGCUAAUACCGCAUACGUCCUGAGGGAGAACGUGGGGGAUCUUCGGACCUCACGCUAUCAGAUGAGCCUAGGUCGGAUUAGCUAGUUGGUGGGGUAAAGGCCUACCAAGGCGACGAUCCGUAACUGGUCUGAGAGGAUGAUCAGUCACACUGGAACUGAGACACGGUCCAGACUACUACGGGAGGCAGCAGUGGGGAAUAUUGGACAAUGGGCGAAAGCCUGAUCCAGCCAUGCCGAGUGUGUGAAGAAGGUCUUCGGAUUGUAAAGCACUUUAAGUUGGGAGGAAGGGCAGUAAGUUAAAACCUUGCUGUUUUGACGUUACCAACAGAAUAAGCACCGGCUAACUUCGUG
rnacentral:rRNA from 1 species